AGCUUUUUAGUUUAUGUGUAAAAUGUGCGCUUGUGGUGCGCUUGAAAAAGGAGCUU
rnacentral:tRNA from 1 species